GACGAACGCUGGCGGCGUGCCUAACACAUGCAAGUCGAACGGAAAGGCCCUGCUUUUGCGGGGUGCUCGAGUGGCGAACGGGUGAGUAACACGCGAGUAACCUCCCCUUGACAUUGGGAUAACUCCAGGAAACUGGGGCUAAUAUCGGAUAGGAGCUCUUGCUCCACGGUGGGGGUUGGAAAGAUUCGGCGGUUGGGGAUGGACUCGCGGCUUAUCAGCUUCAUGGUGGAGUAGUGGCUUACCAAGGCUUUGACGGCUAGCCGGCCUGAGAGGGCAACCAGCCACAUUAGUACUAAUAUACGGCCCAGACUCCUACGGGAGGCAGCAGUGGGGAAUAUUACGCAAUAAGGGGAAGCCUGAUGCAGCGACGCCGCGUGCGGGAUAACGGCCUACGGGUUGAAAACAGCUUUCGCCUGUAACGUAGCGUGAGUGACGGUAAUGAGUAAAGAAGCACCGGCUAACUACGUG
rnacentral:rRNA from 1 species